UAGAUUUUUAUCUGCUUGGUACCUUGGC
rnacentral:piRNA from 1 species